rnacentral:lncRNA from 1 species
GAGAUGACGUAAGGGGAAUAGUUUUCAACGUCUGUUUUAUUCCGUGCUUCGGAGGACUUUCUUUAAUCUUUGAUUUUGGUCCCUGCUUUUAAGAAAAGCAACUGAAAAGGUCGUAAUACUGCCCCUCAGAAGAAAGGAACAGCGCUAAGUAAUGGAGAAAAUGCCUCCUCUUGGAAGGGAUAUAGAGAUGGAAACAGAAGAUAUAAGAAGGAUUGAGAAUCAUAUAAUACAGGAGCUUAAAAACCUGUUCGCGAUAAUAAAGAGGGGAAUGUCAGAGCGCUUGGAAAAUACCAGGAAGUUGGGAGAGUUAACAGAAGGGCGCACGCUGGAUUGGCCACAAAAUCGAAUUACUGAAAGCCACUACUGAUUAGGACAUUUAUGGAGAACAUGGGUGGCACUGAAGCAGCAUUCUAGUUUCCAGUGCCAUCAACAUCAUAAGUAUCUACCUGGUCUCUGACCAAAGCUACCGCAAUGUGUUCUUGAGGUCAACAUGUUUUGUGGAAGUCUCUGUAUUUGCCCCUUUAUGUCAAUUACCUAUUAUAAACCGAGAGAAAUGGGAAAAUUAAAAACCUGUUUUGAAUUAUUUUUAAUUCAGAACUGUUUUUUCAAGUGAAAUCUUAUGCAGAAGUCUGGUAUAUGAAACAGAUAAAAAUGAACCGGUGAGAUUGAAGGGAGUGAGUAGCAUGGAAUCCUGGCCACUCUUCAGAGAAUUUGAGACAACUUUGUAGAGCCCUUAGUUUAGUUUGUAUGUUACUGGGUAAUUUAAAGCAGAAAUUUUAAUCUGAUUGCACUUAAGAAUCAUCUGAAGAGUUUGUAUUGGUUAGUCUUAUUUCUAAUACUGAUGUCCUGGUCUUUCUCCCCUCAAAAAAAGUCUGCUGCUGGGACCAAGCACAUAGAUGCUUUUUUAAAAACUCUCUAAAAUGACUCUAAUAUGUAGCCAGGAUUGGAAAUAACUAUCCUACACAGCAUUUUUCCUGAUUCUGAGCGUUCAGCUUUUCAUUGAUUUUCCUUAGGGCAAGUCCUUCAUCUUAUUCUGGGUCCUUGCAUUUUCUUUCUGAAGCUACAGUUUCUCUAUAGGUCCCAUGGUUUUCAAAAUUUCUCAUUUUCCAUUUUCUGUGAAAACCAUGGUCAUCUUUCAAAACAAAACACUGCCUGUUUCUUAGGUCUUUAUUGUGGGAUUUUUAUUCCUCAAUACAAAUUUACAUAAAAUAAUAACAAUUAAAAGAUGGGCCUUGGUGUCAGAAUUAUUUUAUAUCUCUUUUUCUUACUAACUCUGCAGCUUACCAGCUCUAGAUAAGUUAAAGGACAGCUAUACUCUUACUACAUAGAAUCAUUAUAAAGAAUUGGUGGGGUGAUCCUUAUAAAGUGUUUGCAUGAUACCUAGCAUAGAGAAAGUGCUUGAAGUUGUUAACUGUUAUGGUUACAAAAUAUGUAAAUAAUUUUUAUUUUUCAAUUUUCUGUCUUCAUAUACACUAAAUUGUUCUAAUUCUUGAACCACAGUAACAACGUGUGAAUGACUUACGCAUUCAGUGGGUCCACUCAACUAAUAUUAAGUACCUGUUAUGGUCUAUGAAAGGAACUGGCAAAACAGUCGUUAUUACCCUUAAAUAUUCCCAAGUGUUAGUGAUCAAAGUUUCUCUCUGCUGAAAAUGAAAAGUACCACAUAGGAUGGAGGAAACAGUCAUCUUGAGGGCUAAAUCUGGUUUAACAUCUUAUUUGUUGACCUGUUACUACAGUGUUGCCACAUAUGCUUUGUUGGUUUUUAGUUUAGCCCCCAAACAUUUUAAAAAUCAGAUCAUUUCAUGUUAAAAGAAAUCUAGACUUCUAGCUCUCUUGAAAACGUGAACUCUGACAAACACUGAAAUUACAGAGUAGCAGGGUAUGUGCCCUUUAUUUGGUGCAUGUUUUCUUCAGGUUCCCAAGUUCUGCGUUCUCUGUUGUCACCUUGUCACUGAGGCCAAAUGUCAGUUGCUGCUUACAUGCAUUUGCACAGUUGUUACUUUUUUACAGUGAAAUUACAGGUAAACUGUUUUGACAUCCAUGUUUCUACCAAAGGUAAGAAAACACAAGCCAAAAAGACACAGAUUUCAAGAAAAAGAGGAGAAAGCAUAAUUCUUUAUGGAAUUGAAGAAUACUCUUUGUAUCUAAGUAUGCCAAAAAAGUGUGUAUAAAAAAAUACAACUUAAGAUGCCAUUAUGAAAAAACUCCAAGUCAGUGUUUACUAACAUCUUUUCAGUUUUAGGAAGGAGGCAGGUUUGUUUUGCAUCUCAUUGGAUCUCCUGUGCUACAUAUUUCUUGAAAUACCGUAAGUACUAAUAUACACUUGCAAUAGAUAAACAGGAGUAUUACAAAUAUAAGAGAUAGCAGGAACUAUUUUAAUAUUAAGAGUUAUCAAAUAUGCACACUAGGUGUAAUAAAUGUUUUCUUUCUUCUACAACAUUUAAUCUGGAGGCAGAAAUACAUGUUGCUUCUCUUUCUGCAUCUCCAUCAAAAUCCAAACCAAGUAAUCAGGAUCUUUGAGAGUCACAGUAAGAAUUACAGCCUCAUGUUUGGAUUUUUUAAAUUUAAAUUUUAAAUAACUCCUUCUUUCCACUGAUAUUUAUUGAAGAACUGCUAUGCUCCAGGUACUGUGAUAAACACUAGGCAAAUGUUGGAGAGCUAAAAAGACGUUCCUCUUAUAAAGACAUUGUAACAAACAAAUAAAUGUAUUAGUCAAUAUGUAAGUAAACAAAAAAGUAGACAAGCACAAAUUAUGUUAAGUACUAUGUAGGAAACUAAUAGAGUACUGUAACAGAAUAAUAAAGUAUAUGGGAUGGGGGUAGGAAUCUGUUCAGGAAUGAUCUACUUGAGAAGUUGACAUGUAGGCAGAGAUCUGAAUGAAUCGUGAGGAGUCAACCUUUCAGAGUAAGUGGAGUAGGCACUUCCAAGAGAAAAGCAUAGUCCUGGCUAUUUGCCUAUCAAUGUCUUCUUGAACAAGGGUUAGCAAUCUCCUACCUGUACCACAGAUGCUGUGGGCCACCUCCAUGCUACCUGUGCCACCAAGAGAUUCAAUGUGAUGCAUGAUUUGAAGGUUUCUCAUCCUGAUACCCUGUGGAAAGUAGAAUCAGUGACAAAUAAAAGCAGAUCAUUAACUCAGGUGGAGUCUGCUAAAGAUGAUACUUGCUUGUCAGUACAUGAGUAUCCACCCUAGUGAAAAAACUACAGAAGAGGUAGGAUUUUUCGUCAGUGUUCUAUCACUUCCCCUUCCAAGUUCCUCUCCUGCCUUCUGAUGCUCUUUCCCACAAGUUGCAGGCAAAUAAAGCAUGUAUUUUACUCUCUCUUUAUCCAGAGUUGCUCCUUGUCCUUAUAUGAAGUAGAUUCCAGACCUCACAAUUGUAUAUGCCUAUUCUUCUACUCCAACCCCUCAAAAAAAAGAGGAAGAAUGAAAGAAUGAACAAGAGAAAAAGAAGGAAGGAAGAGAGGGAGAGGAAAGGAGGGAAGGAUGGUCCUGAAGAUCUCAGUUCGGUGCUGAAAAAAGUCACUACUUAAACUUCUUCAAGCAGAAUGAAUUACCAUAGCUAAUAAUGUACCUUAAGCUUUUCUAGAAUCUUUGUAUUUAAAAAAUUGAUUAUUGGCCGGGCGCGGUGGCUCAAGCCUGUAAUCCCAGCACUUUGGGAGGCCGAGACGGGUGGAUCACGAGGUCAGGAGAUCGAGACCAUCCUGGCUAACACGGUGAAACCCCGUCUCUACUAAAAAAUACAAAAAAACUAGCCGGGCGAGGUGGUGGGCGCCUGUAGUCCCAGCUACUCGGGAGGCUGAGGCAGGAGAAUGGCGUAAACCCGGGAGGUGGGGCUUGCGGUGAGCUGAGAUCCGGCCACUGUACUCCAGCCUGGGCGACACAGCGAGACUCUGUCUCAAAAAAAAAAAAAAAAA